CUAAAAUGAGUUUGACCCCCCCUGGUCUAAACCAAACAAAUCCUGAAUAGUUCAAAUCUAACAGACGUGAUGCUCAAGUGCAGGUGAACUGUCCCAGCUCUAACCUUCACAGCUCUACUGCUUAUCGCUGCGAAAACAAGACGCACGCUCCGGUUUUAACU